rnacentral:rRNA from 1 species
GAUGAACGCUGGCGGCGUGCCUAAUACAUGCAAGUCGAGCGAACAGACGAGGAGCUUGCUCCUCUGACGUUAGCGGCGGACGGGUGAGUAACACGUGGAUAACCUACCUAUAAGACUGGGAUAACUUCGGGAAACCGGAGCUAAUACCGGAUAAUAUUUUGAACCGCAUGGUUCAAUAGUGAAAGACGGUUUUGCUGUCACUUAUAGAUGGAUCCGCGCCGCAUUAGCUAGUUGGUAAGGUAACGGCUUACCAAGGCGACGAUACGUAGCCGACCUGAGAGGGUGAUCGGCCACACUGGAACUGAGACACGGUCCAGACUCCUACGGGAGGCAGCAGUAGGGAAUCUUCCGCAAUGGGCGAAAGCCUGACGGAGCAACGCCGCGUGAGGGAUGAAGGUCUUCGGAUCGGAAAACUCUGUUAUUAGGGAAGAACAAACGUGUAAGUAACUAUGCACGUCUUGACGGUACCUAAUCAGAAAGCCACGGCUAACUACGUG